UACAGAGGGUGCGAGCGUUAAUCGGAAUUACUGGGCGUAAAGAGCUCGUAGGCGGUUUGUUGCGUCGGCUGUGAAAUCCCGAGGCUCAACCUCGGGUCUGCAGUCGAUACGAGCAAACUAGAGUGUUGCAGGGGAGACUGGAAUUCCUGGUGUAGCGGUGAAAUGCGUAGAUAUCGUAAGGAAGACCAGUGGCGAAGGCGGGUCUCUGGACAGUUCCUGACGCUGAGGCACGAAGGCCAGGGGAGCAAACGGG
rnacentral:rRNA from 1 species